GCCCGCCGCAAGGCGAAAGCCGCGCUUAAGUCAGGAGUGUCACCAGUAUGGCACGCAUCACCGGUACCGUGAAGUGGUUCAACGACGCGAAGGGCUUCGGCUUCAUCACGCCCGAGAACGGCGACAAGGACUGCUUCGUGCAUCACACCGCGAUCCAGCAGGAUGGCUUCAAGACCCUGGCCGAAGGCCAGCGUGUCGAGUUCGAAGUGGUUCAGGGGCAAAAGGGCCCCGCCGCUCAGAACGUCGUGAAGCUGUAACCGACCGCGGUACCGCGAAACGAACGGCGCCGCCCCUACGGGCGGCGCCGUUUG
rnacentral:other from 1 species